CUGUCAGGUGCGGCGACAAUUCUAGGUGCAAUCUGGAAAUAUUCAUGUAGCGACAUUGGUACCAAAACAUGACAAAAAUUAAGGAUAAAUAAGUAUCGCCAGGCUCACUUAAAGAUCCCAUAAAGUCAGAGAUAUCGAUCACACUAUCAGCCGCAGUGCUCGAUAUAGUUUGAUUUAUAUUUUUGAAGGUGGCAUGUAUAAGGCUAGACUAGGAUGUCAUAUUAAGAGAAUUAUUAAUGUAUUUUUGGCUUAAGUCAAAGGCCCUUCAAUUUGUAUUAAGCCUAGAAUAAUGGUUAUUAUUCAUUUUGAUGAAUGCAUAUAAUGUUCUUUCUAUGGAUGAA